rnacentral:rRNA from 1 species
GACGAACGCUGGCGGCGUGCUUAACACAUGCAAGUCGAACGGAAAGGCCCUGCUUUUGUGGGGUGCUCGAGUGGCGAACGGGUGAGUAACACGUGAGUAACCUGCCCUUGACUUUGGGAUAACUUCAGGAAACUGGGGCUACUACCGGAUAGGAGCUCCUGCUGCAUGGUGGGGGUUGGAAAGUUUCGGCGGUUGGGGAUGGACUCGCGGCUUAUCAGCUUGUUGGUGGGGUAGUGGCUUACCAAGGCUUUGACGGGUAGCCGGCCUGAGAGGGUGACCGGCCACAUUGGGACUGAGAUACGGCCCAGACUCCUACGGGAGGCAGCAGUGGGGAAUAUUGCACAAUGGGCGGAAGCCUGAUGCAGCAACGCCGCGUGCGGGAUGACGGCCUUCGGGUGGUAAACCGCUUUCGCCUGUGACGAAGCGUGAGUGACGGUAAUGGGUAAAGAAGCACCGGCUAACUACGUG